AUGCGAUUCAACCAUAUGUGGAAGUUGCCUCUGUUGAAAGAGGAAUGGAUUAGCUGUGCAUAAAAUGCAAAAUCCCUGUAGCAAGAGAAGAAAGGGGACCAUCUGACCCCUGAGAGCUGUUAAAAUCAAGGAGCCAGAAAGACUUCUGGUGUUUGUUAAAGAAUGCCAUCGUUGCAGGGUGAUCAAGGUAUCUUUGAAAGGCAGUAGAAGAGUGGCUCGUUCACCCCAGUUACAAUGAAGGAAGCUAUAACCUACAUUGGGAACAGAAUAUAAAGCAGUUCUAACAAGCAUAAUUUUUUGCAAGCAAUUAAUCAAAAUGUAUUUAGCAAGUCAUUUCCAAUGAUAAUCAACAGACCUGCUUAAAACAAUAACCAUUUGGCAAUGACAACACUGUUCGUUCUGAUGUAAGUGGGCUUUGAUGCUUGAAAUAAAACA